rnacentral:rRNA from 1 species
UACGUAGGGUGCAAGCGUUAAUCGGAAUUACUGGGCGUAAAGCGUGCGCAGGCGGUUGUGCAAGACAGAUGUGAAAUCCCCGGGCUUAACCUGGGGAAUUGCAUUUGUGACUGCACGGCUAGAAUCUGGCAGGAGGGGGUAGAAUUCCACGUGUAGCAGUGAAAUGCGUAGAUAUCAUUUGGAACGCCAAUGGUGAAAACAGGUAGCUGGGGCUGUGCUGACACUGAGACACGAAAGCCAGGGGAGCGAACGGG